UGGGGAAUUUUGCGCAAUGGGCUAACGCCUGACGCAGCAACGCCGCGUGGAGGAUGAAGGUCUUUGGAUUGUAAACUCCUGUCAGCAGGGAAAAAGGGAGUCGGCCUAAUACGUCGGUGACUUGAUUGUACCUGCAGAGGAAGCCCCGGCUAACUCUGUGCCAGCAGCCGCGGUAAUACAGAGGGGGCAAGCGUUAUUCGGAAUUAUUGGGCGUAAAGGGCGCGUAGGCGGCUUUUCAAGUGACGGGUGAAAUCCCUCGGCUUAACCGAGGAACUGCCUGUCAGACUGGAAGGCUUGAGACCGGGAGAGGUGAGUGGAAUUCCCAGUGUAGCGGUGAAAUGCGUAGAUAUUGGGAGGAACACCAGUGGCGAAGGCGGCUCACUGGACCGGAACUGACGCUGAGGCGCGAAAGCGUGGGGAGCAAACAGGAUUAGAUACCCUGGUAGUCCACGCCGUAAACGAUGAGUGCUUGGUGUAGCGGGUAUCGACCCCUGCUGUGACC
rnacentral:rRNA from 1 species